UUCUAUGGGCAUCACCUUCCCAUCCAAUGACUUCAGCUCUUGGUCUCAAUAUCCUCAAGAAAUAUCUAUCAUCAUGCUAGAGAAGAAAGUAUUUGUCUAUGUUAGCAUAUCUUGCUACUAACGAGCUCAGUUUGAUUGGUUCCCAAAGUUUUGGUUUUAACUCAAUUGUCAUUUCCUCCUGGAAGUUUCCCUGACCCCACAAAUUGGGGUUAGAUUCCCCUCCUACAUCUUCCUGUGAUACUCACUACUUCUGCUCAGCAGGCCUUAUCAGCUGUACUUGCCUACCUUCCUCCUGGACUGUGACGUUUCUGAGGGCAGGGAACACCAGGCUUUCUCUACAGCGAUUCUCAAACCUAUCAGAGUGCUUAGCCCAUGUGAGGCAUGCCAUCAAUAUUUGAGGAAUGAAAGAGUGAAUGAGAUGAACCUGGUGUUGCCGAGGCUGACUACAAGGAAAGAAGAGGAGGGGUGAGGAAAGAAAUGUGGGCUUUGCAGCAGCAGGACAAAUCUCAUCCCUGCUCCACUACCAGGCAACCCUCAGUCCCGUUAUCCUGUCUCUCUCGGGGCAAGUUUCCAUACCUGGGAAUCGAGGUAGAUAAAAACUAUUUCAUGGCACUCUGGAGGAGAAGUACACAGGAUUGCACAAGGCACAAUUGCAUAGUGUGCGGAUACUCCUGGUGGUUUGGAGCGGCCUCACCAGUGGUAAAGGUGGGUGACUGUACACUGAGGAAGAGUGUGACCCACAAGAGCAUGGGAUGUCACUUAUUAAAAUGGCCUCUUGGGUGGCUCAGUUGGUUAAGCAACUGUCAUUGAUCUCAGAUCAUGAUCUCAGUGGUCCUGUAACUCCACAAUAAAAAGU